rnacentral:rRNA from 1 species
GGGGAAUAUUGCACAAUGGGGGAAACCCUGAUGCAGCGACGCCGCGUGGAGGAUGACGGCCUUCGGGUUGUAAACUCCUUUUGUCAGGGACAAUGGUGAUGGUACCUGACGAAUAAGCCACGGCUAACUCUGUGCCAGCAGCCGCGGUAAGACAGAGGUGGCGGGCGUUGUUCGGAAUUACUGGGCUUAAAGGGCGCGUAGGCGGUGGUGUAAGUCUGGGGUGGAAUGCUACAGCUCAACUGUAGAGCUGCCUUGGAAACUGCAUUACUUGAGUCGGUGAGGGGAAGGCGGAAUUCCUGGUGUAGCGGUGAAAUGCGUAGAUAUCAGGAGGAAGGUCUGUGGCGAAGGCGGCCUUCUGGCACUUGACUGACGCUGAGGCGCGAAAGCGUGGGGAGCAAACAG